AAAAGGGGAGCAAUCCUCUGAGUAAAGCGGCGCACGGGUGAGUAACACGUGGGUAAUCUGCCCUGAAGUGGGGAAUAACACCGGGAAACCGGUGCUAAUACCGCAUAUGAUCACGGUGUCUGCGGACACAGGGAUGAAAGGAGCAAUUCGCUUCAGGAGGAGCCCGCGGCUGAUUAGCUAGUUGGUGAGGUAAUGGCUCACCAAGGCUACGAUCAGUAUCCGGUCUGAGAGGACGGUCGGACACACUGGAACUGAGACACGGUCCAGACUCCUACGGGAGGCAGCAGUGGGGAAUUUUUCGCAAUGGGGGCAACCCUGACGAAGCAACGCCGCGUGGAUGAUGAAGUAUCUCGGUACGUAAAAUCCUUUCGACAGGGAAGAAACCGCAAGGUUGACGGUACCUGUAGAAGAAGCCCCGGCUAACUCCGUGCCAGCAGCCGCGGUAAUACGGGGGGGGCUAGCGUUGUUCGGAAUUACUGGGCGUAAAGGGCGCGUAGGCGGUCUGCUAAGUUGGAUGUGAAAACUCUGGGCUUAACCCAGAGCCUGCAUUCAAAACUGACAGGCUAGAGUUCUGGAGGGGAUAGCGGAAUUCCUGGUGUAGCGGUGAAAUGCGUAGAUAUCAGGAGGAACACCGGUGGCGAAGGCGGCUAUCUGGACAGAAACUGACGCUGAGGCGCGAAAGCUAGGGGAGCAAACAGGAUUAGAUACCCUGGUAGUCCUAGCCCUAAACGAUGGAUACUUGGUGUGACUGGGAUUGAAUCCAGUCGUGCCGAAGCUAACGCAUUAAGUAUCCCGCCUGGGGAGUACGGUCGCAAGGCUG
rnacentral:rRNA from 2 species